UACGUGAGGCAGCGUAGCGUUGUUCGGAGUUACUGGGCGUAAAGGGUGUGUAGGCGGUUCUUUAAGUUUGGUGUGAAACUCUCCCGGCUCAACCGGGAGGGUGCGCCGAAUACUGAGGGACUUGGAGUGCGGGAGAGGAAAGUGGAAUUCCUGGUGUAGCGGUGAAAUGACGUAGAUAGUCAGGAGGAACACCGGUGGUGUAGACGGCUUUCUGGACCGUAACUGACGCUGGAGACACGAAAGCGUGGGGAGCAAACAGG
rnacentral:rRNA from 1 species